rnacentral:rRNA from 1 species
AGGGUGACAGCCCCGUACACAAAAAUGCACAUAUUGUGAGCUUGAUGAGUAGGGCGGGACACGUGGUAUCCUGUCUGAAUAUGGGGGGACCAUCCUCCAAGGCUAAAUACUCCUGACUGACCGAUAGUGAACCAGUACCGUGAGGGAAAGGCGAAAAGAACCCCGGCGAGGGGAGUGAAAAAGAACCUGAAACCGUGUACGUACAAGCAGUGGGAGCACGCUUAGGCGUGUGACUGCGUACCUUUUGUAUAAUGGGUCAGCGACUUAUAUUCUGUAGCAAGGUUAACCGAAUAGGGGAGCCGAAGGGAAACCGAGUCUUAACUGGGCGUUAAGUUGCAGGGUAUAGACCCGAAACCCGGUGAUCUAGCCAUGGGCAGGUUGAAGGUUGGGUAACACUAACUGGAGGACCGAACCGACUAAUGUUGAAAAAUUAGCGGAUGACUUGUGGCUGGGGGUGAAAGGCCAAUCAAACCGGGAGAUAGCUGGUUCUCCCCGAAAGCUAUUUAGGUAGCGCCUCGUGAAUUCAUCUCCGGGGGUAGAGCACUGUUUCGGCAAGGGGGUCAUCCCGACUUACCAACCCGAUGCAAACUGCGAAUACCGGAGAAUGUUAUCACGGGAGACACACGGCGGGUGCUAACGUCCGUCGUGAAGAGGGAAACAACCCAGACCGCCAGCUAAGGUCCCAAAGUCAUGGUUAAGUGGGAAACGAUGUGGGAAGGCCCAGACAGCCAGGAUGUUGGCUUAGAAGCAGCCAUCAUUUAAAGAAAGCGUAAUAGCUCACUGGUCGAGUCGGCCUGCGCGGAAGAUGUAACGGGGCUAAACCAU